AGUGUAGGCGGCUACGUAAGUCGGAUGUGAAAGCCCUGGGCUUAACCUGGGAAUUGCAUUCGAUACUGCGUAGCUAGAGUCUGAUAGAGGGAAGUGGAAUUCCGGGUGUAGCGGUGAAAUGCGUAGAUAUCCGGAGGAACACCAGUGGCGAAGGCGGCUUCCUGGAUCAAGACUGACGCUGAGGCUCGAAAGCGUGGGGAGCAAACA
rnacentral:rRNA from 1 species